rnacentral:rRNA from 1 species
GAUGAACGCUGGCGGCGUGCCUAAUACAUGCAAGUCGAGCGAACGGACGAGAAGCUUGCUUCUCUGAUGUUAGCGGCGGACGGGUGAGUAACACGUGGAUAACCUACCUAUAAGACUGGGAUAACUUCGGGAAACCGGAGCUAAUACCGGAUAAUAUUUUGAACCGCAUGGUUCAAAAGUGAAAGACGGUCUUGCUGUCACUUAUAGAUGGAUCCGCGCUGCAUUAGCUAGUUGGUAAGGUAACGGCUUACCAAGGCAACGAUGCAUAGCCGACCUGAGAGGGUGAUCGGCCACACUGGAACUGAGACACGGUCCAGACUCCUACGGGAGGCAGCAGUAGGGAAUCUUCCGCAAUGGGCGAAAGCCUGACGGAGCAACGCCGCGUGAGUGAUGAAGGUCUUCGGAUCGUAAAACUCUGUUAUUAGGGAAGAACAUAUGUGUAAGUAACUGUGCACAUCUUGACGGUACCUAAUCAGGAAGCCACGGCUAACUACGU